CCCUUAGAUGUUCUGGGCUGCACACGUGCUACACUGGUAGGUUCAGCGAGCUUCAUGCCCUGAUCUGAAAGGAAUGGGAAAUCUUUUCAAAACCUGCCGUGCUUGGGAUAGAUGUUUGCAAUUAUUCAUCUUCAACGAGGAUUGCCUUGUAAGCGCACGUCAUCAGCGUGCAUUGAAUACGACCCUGUAUUCUGUACACACCGCCCGUCGCUCCUACCGAUUGAAGUUUUCGGUGAGUUGACAGGAGGAUUUUUUUGAAACUGGUUCGCCAGUGGAUUUUAGAUCCAAAUGCCAACGAAUCGAUGGCUUUAGAGGAAGGAGAAGUCGUAACA
rnacentral:rRNA from 1 species